rnacentral:rRNA from 1 species
AGAGUUUGAUCCUGGCUCAGGAUGAACGCUGGCGGCGUGCUUAACACAUGCAAGUCGAACGAUGAAGCCUUUCGGGGUGGAUUAGUGGCGAACGGGUGAGUAACACGUGGGCAAUCUGCCCUUCACUCUGGGACAAGCCCUGGAAACGGGGUCUAAUACCGGAUAAUACUUUCUCCUGCAUGGGAGAGGGUUGAAAGCUCCGGCGGUGAAGGAUGAGCCCGCGGCCUAUCAGCUUGUUGGUGGGGUGAUGGCCUACCAAGGCGACGACGGGUAGCCGGCCUGAGAGGGCGACCGGCCACACUGGGACUGAGACACGGCCCAGACUCCUACGGGAGGCAGCAGUGGGGAAUAUUGCACAAUGGGCGGAAGCCUGAUGCAGCGACGCCGCGUGAGGGAUGACGGCCUUCGGGUUGUAAACCUCUUUCAGCAGGGAAGAAGCGUGAGUGACGGUACCUGCAGAAGAAGCGCCGGCUAACUACGUGCCAGCAGCCGCGGUAAUACGUAGGGCGCAAGCGUUGUCCGGAAUUAUUGGGCGUAAAGAGCUCGUAGGCGGCUUGUCGCGUCGGAUGUGAAAGCCCGGGGCUUAACCCCGGGUCUGCAUUCGAUACGGGCAGGCUAGAGUGUGGUAGGGGAGAUCGGAAUUCCUGGUGUAGCGGUGAAAUGCGCAGAUAUCAGGAGGAACACCGGUGGCGAAGGCGGAUCUCUGGGCCAUUACUGACGCUGAGGAGCGAAAGCGUGGGGAGCGAACAGGAUUAGAUACCCUGGUAGUCCACGCCGUAAACGUUGGGAACUAGGUGUUGGCGACAUUCCACGUCGUCGGUGCCGCAGCUAACGCAUUAAGUUCCCCGCCUGGGGAGUACGGCCGCAAGGCUAAAACUCAAAGGAAUUGACGG